AAUGGGCGAAAGCCUGACGCAGCAACGCCGCGUGCGGGAUGACGGCCUUCGGGUUGUAAACCGCUUUCAGCAGGGACGAAUUUUGACGGUACCUGCAGAAGAAGCCCCGGCCAACUACGUGCCAGCAGCCGCGGUAACACGUAGGGGGCGAGCGUUGUCCGGAUUUAUUGGGCGUAAAGAGCUCGUAGGCGGCUCGGUAAGUCAACUGUGAAAGCUCCGGGCUCAACUCGGAGAGGCCAGUUGAUACUGCUGUGGCUAGAGUCCGGUAGGGGAGCGUGGAAUUCCUGGUGUAGCGGUGAAAUGCGCAGAUAUCAGGAGGAACACCAGCGGCGAAGGCGGCGCUCUGGGCCGGAACUGACGCUGAGGAGCGAAAGCGUGGGUAGCAAACAGGAUUAGAUACCCUGGUAGUCCACGCCGUAAACGUUGGGCACUAGGUGUGGGUCUCAACCAACGAGAUCCGUGCCGUCGCUAACGCAUUAAGUGCCCCGCCUGGGGAGUACGGCCGCAAGGCUA
rnacentral:rRNA from 1 species